AAACCUGGCAGGAGGCCUAACACAUGCAAGUCGAGCGCGCCCUUCGGGGUGAGCGGCGGACGGGUUAGUAACGCGUGGGAACGUGCCCUUUGGUACGGAAUAGCCUCUGGAAACGGAGAGUAAUACCGUAUGAGCCCUUCGGGGGAAAGAUUUAUCGCCAAAGGAUCGGCCCGCGUUAGAUUAGGUAGUUGGUGGGGUAAUGGCCUACCAAGCCUACGAUCUAUAGCUGGUUUUAGAGGAUGAUCAGCAACACUGGGACUGAGACACGGCCCAGACUCCUACGGGAGGCAGCAGUGGGGAAUCUUGGACAAUGGGGGCAACCCUGAUCCAGCCAUGCCGCGUGGGUGAUGAAGGCCUUAGGGUCGUAAAGCUCUUUCGCCUGUGAAGAUAAUGACGGUAGCAGGUAAAGAAACCCCGGCUAACUCCGUGCCAGCAGCCGCGGUAAUACGGAGGGGGUUAGCGUUGUUCGGAAUUACUGGGCGUAAAGCGCACGUAGGCGGACCAAAAAGUUGGGGGUGAAAUCCCGGGGCUCAACCCCGGAACUGCCUCCAAAACUGUUGGUCUAGAGUUCGAGAGAGGUGAGUGGAAUUCCGAGUGUAGAGGUGAAAUUCGUAGAUAUUCGGAGGAACACCAGUGGCGAAGGCGGCUCACUGGCUCGAUACUGACGCUGAGGUGCGAAAGUGUGGGGAGCAAACAGGAUUAUAUACCCUGGUAGUCCACACCGUAAACGAUGAAUGCCAGUCGUCGGGUAGCAUGCUAUUCGGUGACACACCUAACGGAUUAAGCAUUCCAGCCUGGUGAAGUACGGUCGCAAGAUUAGAACUUCAAAUGACUGACGG
rnacentral:rRNA from 1 species